rnacentral:rRNA from 1 species
GUGCACGCUGGCGGUAGGCCUAACACAUGCAAGUCGAACGGCAGCACAGUAAGAGCCUGCUCUUACGGGUGGCGAGUGGCGGACGGGUGAGGAAUACAUCGGAAUCUACUAUUUCGUGGGGGAUAACGUAGGGAAACUUACGCUAAUACCGCAUACGACCUACGGGUGAAAGCAGGGGAUCUUCGGACCUUGCGCGAUUGAAUGAGCCGAUGUCGGAUUAGCUAGUUGGCGGGGUAAAGGCCCACCAAGGCGACGAUCCGUAGCUGGUCUGAGAGGAUGAUCAGCCACACUGGAACUGAGACACGGUCCAGACUCCUACGGGAGGCAGCAGUGGGGAAUAUUGGACAAUGGGCGCAAGCCUGAUCCAGCCAUACCGCGUGGGUGAAGAAGGCCUUCGGGUUGUAAAGCCCUUUUGUUGGGAAAGAAAAGCAGCAGGUUAAUACCCCGCUGUUCUGACGGUACCCAAAGAAUAAGCACCGGCUAACUUCGUG